UAAACACAAGAGUUUGAUCCUGGCUCAGGACGAACGCUGGCGGCGUGCCUAACACAUGCAAGUCGAGCGGAGUUAACAGAAGGAAGUUUUCGGAUGGAAUUUUGUUAACUUAGCGGCGGACGGUGAGUAACGCGUGAGCAACCUGCCUUUCACAGGGGGAUAAGGCGGCGAAAGCCGCUCUAAUACCGCAUGAGACCACAGUGGUGAUGCUACAGGGGUC
rnacentral:rRNA from 1 species